UAUUUUCUUUAACUUCAACUUUUAAUUACGAGUCGCAGCCGCCCCAAACUUACUGCGUGCCGCGAUUCUGGACUGAUCACUUCGUAUCUUCGUCAUCAGGUUGUCUCUCCGUUUUUCUUUUAAGAUGUAAUCAGCUAGACAUGGGAUAUGAUUCCCACAACUAUAGUGAUUAGCCUUUAGUCAAUCCAUGUAGCUCUACCUUGUAGGAGUGGUCAUGUUUUAUUCUGCAUAAUUUAUUAAUUUAUUUUUUAAUCAUGAGAACGUCCGCGACAACAGCUAGUUCGCGAGCUAGCACAUCCGGGCUGAUCCUGGAAGCCAUCUCCCUGUUUGACAGGGUACAAGUACCGGACAGUUUACAAGAACCGGACACAUUCCAAGGACCAGAUCAGUUCCCAAGGGCCGGAUGACUUAGGCCCUCUGACGUCCAGUCAGCUGUUCUACUUCGUCCAGCAAUCGUCAAACCGUCAGCCCUUCAGUUUUCGGACUAACAUUCAAGCACGACGUUGUUCAGAUCAGACAGCCAGAAGUUUCCUUUAGGACUUAAAAGAUCCACCAUAAUCUGGGACUGCGACUCCUUGACAUGUUUAUUGUUACGAAUUGUAUUUAAAUUGUGUUAAUGAACCAUAUAAUUGUCUAAUAAGGGCCGGGCCAUUCUUUGGAUAGUGUGAUUAUAAAUCCAUGUUAUAUAUAUUUUUUGUUAAUCAACUUAUAAAAUAUAAUGUGAAAAUAAUCAAAAAUAAAAUGAAAACAGAGGUACUAA